CAAGGAUUCCCCUAGUAACUGCGAGUGAAGAGGGAAAAGCUCAAAUUUAAAAUCUGGCAGCGUUUGCUGUCCGAGUUGUAAUUUAGAGAAGUGUUACCCGCGUUGGACCGUGUACAAGUCUCCUGGAAUGGAGCGUCAUAGAGGGUGAGAAUCCCGUCUUUGACACGGACUACCAAGGCAUUGUGGUACGCUCUCAAAGAGUCGAGUUGUUUGGGAAUGCAGCUCUAAAUGGGUGGUAAAUUCCAUCUAAAGCUAAAUAUUGGCGAGAGACCGAUAGCAAACAAGUACCGUGAGGGAAAGAUGAAAAGAACUUUGGAAAGAGAGUUAAACAGUACGUGAAAUUGUUGAAAGGGAAACGCUUAAAGUCCAGUCGCGUUGGUUAGGAAUCAGCCUUGGUUUUUCCUUGGCGCAUUUCCUAGUCGACGGGUCAACAUGAGUUUUGACUGUUGGAUAAAGAUCAAGGGAAUGUGACACCUUCGGGUGUGUUAUAGCUUUUGGUUGUAUACAACGGUUGGGACUGAGGAACUCAGCACGCCGAAAGGCCAGGUCUUGUACCAUGUACGUGCUUAG
rnacentral:rRNA from 1 species